rnacentral:rRNA from 1 species
AGUGAACGCUGGUGGCGUGCCUAAUACAUGCAAGUCGAACGGAGUGGCGCACGGGCGAGUAAUGUAUAGCUCAUCUGCCCUACACUAGAGGACAACAGUUGGAAACGGCUGCUACUACUCUAUAGUGUAGGAUGAGGCUAUAUUGUAUCAGCUAGUUGGUGAGGUAAUGGCUCCCCAAGGCUAUGACGCAUAACUGGUCUGAGAGGAUGAUCAGUCACACUGGAACUGAGACAGGGUCCAGACACCUACGGGAGGCAGCAGUAGGGAAUAUUGCUCAAUGGGGGAGUCCCUGAAGCAGCAACGCCGCGUGGAGGAUGACACUUUUCGGAGCGUAAACGCCUGUUGUUAGGGAAGCGGUACCUAACGAAUAAGCACCGGCUAACUCCGUGCCAGCAGCCGCGGUAAUUC